GUUUGGUCAUCCUCUAGCAUGGACUAAGCCCUGUGGUGCCUGUGUCCCACCUGUGUGCCUCUGCCUGGGUGCUGCUUUGGGGAUCCCCUGGUUGGUGAGGAUCUCUGGACCAGCACUGAAUGAAUGCCUCAUUUGACCUUGAUCUAGAAGAUGUUGAGGCCGCUGGAGUACAGGACUCAGGGGAGGGGGUAGCAGCAAUAUUUCUCCACUCCCUCCUCGAGGUGUCAAGCUGUCUCCCAGCUGGUCCCUGAUUUGGCUUCGGUCAUCUUCUGAUGGUGUGUCCUUUCCAGACAGCCCUCCAGUUGAUGGCGUGGAG